rnacentral:rRNA from 1 species
UACGGAGGGUGCAAGCGUUAUCCGGAUUCACUGGGUUUAAAGGGUGCGUAGGCGGAUAUGUAAGUCCGUGGUGAAAUCUCUGGGCUUAACCCGGAAACUGCCAUGGAUACUAUGUGUCUUGAAUGUUGUUGAGGUGAGCGGAAUAUGUCAUGUAGCGGUGAAAUGCUUAGAUAAUGACAUAGAACACCAAUUGCGAAGGCAGCUCACUAAGCAAAUAUUGAC